rnacentral:rRNA from 1 species
GAUGAACGCUAGCGACAGGCUUAACACAUGCAAGUCGAGCGGCAGCACAGGUAGCAAUACUUUGGUGGCGACCGGCGCACGGGUGAGUAACGCGUAUGCAACCUACCCAUCAGAGGGGAAUAACCCGGCGAAAGUCGGACUAAUACCGCAUAAAACAGGGGCCCCGCAUGGUGAUCUUUGUGAAAGAAAUUCGCUGAUGGAUGGGCAUGCGUUCCAUUAGGUAGUUGGUGAGGUAACGGCUCACCAAGCCGACGAUGGAUAGGGGAACUGAGAGGUUGGUCCCCCACACUGGUACUGAGACACGGACCAGACUCCUACGGGAGGCAGCAGUGAGGAAUAUUGGUCAAUGGGCGGGAGCCUGAACCAGCCAAGUCGCGUGAAGGAAGAAGGAUCUAUGGUUCGUAAACUUCUUUUGCAGGGGAAUAAAGUGCAGGACGUGUCCUGUUUUGUAUGUACCCUGAGAAUAAGGAUCGGCUAACUCCGUGCCAGCCGCCGCGGUAA